rnacentral:rRNA from 1 species
ACGGAAGGCAGCAGUGAGGAAUAUUGGUCAAUGGGCGGAAGCCUGAACCAGCCAUGCCGCGUGAAGGAAUAAGGUCCUAUGGAUCGUAAACUUCUUUUGAGCGGGAGCAAUAAGGCCCACGUGUGGGUCGAUGAGAGUACCGUUCGAAUAAGCAUCGGCUAACUCCGUGCCAGCAGCCGCGGUAAUACGGAGGAUGCAAGCGUUAUCCGGAUUUAUUGGGUUUAAAGGGUGCGUAGGCGGACUGACAAGUCAGGGGUGAAAGCCCGGUGCUCAACACUGGAACUGCCCUCGAUACUGCCAGCCUUGAAUUCGGAUGCCGUGGGAGGAAUGAGUAGUGUAGCGGUGAAAUGCAUAGAUAUUACUCAGAACACCAAUUGCGAAGGCAUCUCACGAAGCAGUCAUUGACGCUGAGGCACGAAAGCGUGGGGAUCAAACAGGAUUAGAUACCCUGGUA